AUUCAAGUUGGUGUGAGUGCUCCUCUGGCAGACGAUCUUCGUGGGAGCGUUUCCGGCAGGCUGGCUCACCUGCAGCGGAUUCCCGCAAUCAGCUGCAGGAUUCUUAAGAAGCAGUGGAGCAGCUAUUCAUCGCUCGAUGGUCCCACUUGUUGAUCUUGAUCAGUUGUCUGGAUCAAGCCAGGAACCACGCCUAUCACAGCGCGCAGCAGCGACUGCUCUUUUGUCACCAGGACUCCACCGCCUGCCGAUCGUGCCCCUGUCACUCUCGCAGAACCCCUGUGCCUCUUGGAUCCUAACCCCUGUGCCUCUUGGAUCCUUUCCCCUUACUCAGCAACCAUGCAUCAGUCGAACUAACCUGAGCCACCCAACCGCUGCCGAUUCGGGAGAGUCAACCUGGAGCAAAUUUCAUUCAGCAUUUAUUGUUAAUAAAUAAUUUGAAUCAAGACUUUCCGGCCUUUGUGGUAGAACCUGCAUGUGGGUAAAAAAACCUCAAAUCCAGCAUGACAGCAGUUCUUAAAUGCCAAUAGUACCCUGCAGAGAAAAACAAAUAUCUAUAGUUUAAUGUGUAACUGAAACCACUUUGAAGUAUUCCCAGGCGCAAAACAGUCAUGUUGCACAAUCGCUUGUGAUCCCCUGAACUCUCUAGACCCUCUUCGGAGGGAAAUGAAUCUGACUAAAAUGAAUCACGUUAUCUCAACUUGAAUACGUUAUUCAAGUUGAGACAAAAACGAUUGUCUCGCGUGAACUCACGUGAUAUCCUGUGAUCUCACUCAGCUUCAGCACCAGAUCAGUCUGACUAAUGAAUUGUUAUCUCAACAUGAUUAAAUUUCAUAAACGUGAAGUUGUUGAAUUUCUUCUUUAUCCAACAUGAUUGUAUCACGUUUUUGUUUGAAACAUGAAAUUUAGUUAAAAGUACA